CCUCAUGAUCCACCCGCCUUGGCCUCCCAAAAUAUUAUUAUUUUGAGAUGGAGUCUCACCGCGUCACUCAGGCUGGAGUGCAGUGGCACAGUCGUGGCUCACAGCAGCCACUAUCUUCCGAGUUCCAGUGAUUCCUCCUGCCUCAGCCUCCCAAGUGGCUGGGAUUACAGGUGCCCACCACCACACCUAGCAAAUUUUUCUAUUUUUAGUAGAGAUGGGGUUUCACCAUGUUGGCCAGGCUGGUCUCAAACUCCAGACCUCAAGUGAUCUGCCCACCUCAGCCUCCCAAAGUGCUGGGAUUCCAGGCACAAGCUACUGCACCUGUCCAAGCCAGAAAUUGAGACAUUCUCCAACGAACACCCACAGCCAAGAAGAGGAGCUCCUGGACGUCCUAGCCAAGGGUGCAUGUUCAGGCUCUCAGGACCCCGAAAUUCAUCCCGCUGAGGCUGUUAGGGGGUGCUGCCAGGAGUCUGUUGGAAGCCAAGGCCCCGGAGCUCCUGGAGAGGGUCCCAUACUCCCUUCAGUCCCUCCCCGAUCCAGGCACAGUGAGUCUCACUAAUGCCAUCAUGCUUUUAGGGAAGAUUCUCCUCCUCUCCAGCCCAGAGUCCACUCCCCUCUCCUGAGUAAUUCACCUCCAUUUCUCUCUGGGAAACCCCCUCCCCACUCUCCCUCCAAGUGACUCCUACAGAGCUCACCCUAUCCCCGGGCUAAAUUAAUGAAUGAAGGAGCCCCAGAACCAGCCAUGCCUGAAGCCAGUUCAGAUCCUGGACUUUAUAGUAACAUGAACCAAUGAAUUCCUAUUUCACUAACCUACUUAAACAAAGCUAACUUGGGUUUCUGUAUUUAGAAACUAAAGAUUCCUGUACAUCCCACUCCUCAAAACAUUCUCCAAGCCCAUAAGGGAAGGAGGGUGGGGGGCUUCUCGGUGCCCUGCCAGAGAGUACAUCUGGCUCCGAAUGCUGGACCGGGAGUCAGACGGACAGGGAAAGGGUCUUCCAGAGUUUUUAGACCUGGCGUCAUCAUUUUGCGUGUUCCUGAGUCUUUUUACCUUGCUCCUGGGGCUCUGGGGCUCUUGUCAGCAGGGAACAUGGUGACAGGCGCCUGGCAGAGAUGGUGUCACCAUCCCUGGAGCAGACCUGUCUGGCAGGCAUAUUCUCGGCCCCUGCAUUUGCAGGACAGGCCCAAGCUCACACAGAGGGCAGACCAGCAGCUUAGCCAUGGGGUGGGCUGAUGAUAAGAAACAGCUGAUUUUCUCCCUGUUAUUUUGCCCAGGUGGAAGGAGGGCUAAGUGAGUGUCUCACCUGAGGCUCAUCCUAGGGCCUGGGGCUUGGCUCACCAUGACAAUGCUCCCAGACACCAGUGCGGCCCAGGAACAUACUGGGGCCACACCUGAGGUGCUGGUGGGACAGUUAGACAUGAAAGGGACCUCCUGGUGUCAUGACAUGAUCAUUUGCAGGUGUCCCAGGGGCUCUUCCUGAAGCCCAGAGACUCCCCCCUCCACCACCAAGUCCUCACCUCUGAACAAGCUGCCUACUUUCCACUACACAGCAGGCCCAGCAGGGUCAUGGUGGCACUGGCUGCCCAAAGGUCAUGAUUUUUCAUUUUUUCAUCUCGCUCUGUCACCCAGGCUGGAGUGCAGUGGCAUGAUCUUGGCUUACUGCAACCUCUACCUCCCAGGUCCAAGCAAUUCUCCUGCCUCAGCCUCCUGAGUAGCUGGGAUUACAGGCACACGCCAUCACACCUGGCUAAUUUUUUAUUUUUAGUAGAGACAGGGUUUCACCAUGUUGGCCAGGCGGGUCUCAAACUCCUCACCUCAGAUGAUCCGCCCCCCUUGGCCUCCCAAAGUGUUGGGAUUACAGGCAUGAGCCACCACGCCCAGCCUCAUUUUUUGUUUUUUGAGACAGUCUUGUUCUGUCACCCAGGCUGGAGUGCAGUGGCAUGAUCUCGACUCAUUGCAACUUCUGCAUCUCAUGUUCAAGCAAUUCUCUUGCCUCAGCCUUCUAACCAGGUGUGCACCAUCAUGUCUGGCUAAUUUUUGUAUUUUCAGUAGAAAUAGGGUUUCACCAUCUCGGCCAGGUUGGUCUCAAACUCCUGACCUCAAAUGAUCAACCUGCCUCAAUAUCCCAAAGUGCUGGGAUUAUAGGUGCAGCCACCACGCUUCUCCGGUUGUGAAUUUCUGGCUUGUUUGUUUUUGUUUUUGAGAUGGAGUUUUGCUUUUGUCACCCAGUCUGGAGUGCAAUGGCACGAUCUUGGCUCACUGCAACCUGUACCUCCCAGGUUCAAGCGAUGCCUCUGCCUCAGCCUCCUGAGCAGCUGAGAUUACAGGUGUGUACCACCACACCUGGCUAAUUUUGUAUUUUUAAUAGAGACAGGGUUUCAUCAUGUUGGUCAGGCAGGUCUCGAACUCCUGACAUCAAGUGAUCCGCCCCCAUCGGCCUCCCAAAGUGCUGGGAUUACAGACGUGAGCCACUGUGCCCUGCUGGUUGUGUUUUUUUUUUUACCCGGAUAGAAUCUGUGCCCUUGCAUGAGGCCCGGCCCACAGCACAACCUUCACUCAGCCUGUUUCACCUGGCCCACCCUGGGCCCUAAACAUCAAACCCACCCUAGACCUGGAGCCCCAGAGGAGGCCCCGUCCCACCGACCAAGCCUAGCUCUCUGUGUGAGGCCUGUCUCCCCAAGUCAUGAAAGACUUCAGUAAGCAAACAAGAUGCAUAUUCUCCUUUUCAGUGGGCUUCUUAAAACAAAAAACAGUCAGUCCCUGCAGCAGCCUGAAAAUGGGUGCCAUGGAAACAGUGGUAGCCAAUGGAGGAGGGAGAGACAGGCCCCUGCCAGAGCCCAGGCCUGCUGCCCUGGCUGAUGGGGCACAGAGGAACCAUCAGGAUUAAGGGGCAAUGGGGAGGGGGUGUCCCCACGUGGCUGGAGUGGGAGGGGUUUCCUCAUCUGGUAGCUCUGAGACGGAGCCCUGCUGUCAGAGGGAUCCACGUGCAUCCCUAGAGAACAGAUCCGUAGUUCCCUGCGGAUCCUCAGACAGCUCUGGGGAGGGAUCCCGGGGGAAGUCACCGUGUCCAUCCAGAUAGCAGGCAGCUAGGAGCCCUGAGCCCCACUCCAGCCUUGCCACAUUCGCCAGAACCGGGACUCUAAGCCCUGCGGGUGGCUUUCCAGGGUGUCAUUGACUCCAUGUGCUGCAGCCCACCCCAUCUCAGGCUCCCUCCUGCCCCAAGAUCAGUGCCCAGGGGGCAGGACCAUGGCCAUGAGCCUUCUGCAGGACUGGUGCCGGGGCCUGGACGUGGACGCACACAGGGCCCUGCUGGUCACCGGCAUCCUGGAGGGCCUGGAGAAGGUGCACGUCGAAGCUGCCCUGCAGCCCUCCCUCCUGCCCCUGG
ensembl:lncRNA